GACGUAGGGGGCAAGCGUUGUCCGGAAUCAUUGGGCGUAAAGAGCUCGUAGGCGGCUUGUCGCGUCGACUGUGAAAUCCCGAGGCUCAACUUCGGGCUUGCAGUCGAUACGGGCAGGCUAGAGUUCGGUAGGGGAGACUGGAAUUCCUGGUGUAGCGGUGAAAUGCGCAGAUAUCAGGAGGAACACCGAUGGCGAAGGCAGGUCUCUGGGCCGAUACUGACGCUGAGGAGCGAAAGCGUGGGGAGCGAACAGG
rnacentral:rRNA from 1 species